CACGUAGGGCGCAAGCGUUGUCCGGAAUUAUUGGGCGUAAAGAGCUCGUAGGCGGUCUGUUGCGUCCGCUGUGAAAACUCGGGGCUUAACCCCGAGCCUGCAGUGGAUACGGGCAGACUAGAGGUAGGUAGGGGAGAAUGGAAUUCCCGGUGUAGCGGUGAAAUGCGCAGAUAUCAGGAGGAAUACCGAUGGCGAAGGCAGGUCUCUGGCUGACACUGACGCUCAUGCACGAAAGCGUGGGGAGCGAACAGG
rnacentral:rRNA from 1 species